rnacentral:rRNA from 1 species
UACAGAGGUCCCAAGCGUUGUUCGGAUUCACUGGGCGUAAAGGGUGCGUAGGUGGUGAGGUAAGUCGGAUGUGAAAGCUCGGAGCUCAACUCCGAAAUGGCAUUGGAAACUACCUUGCUCGAGGGUUGGAGGGGGGAUUGGAAUGCUUGGUGUAGCAGUGAAAUGCGUAGAUAUCAAGCGGAACACCAGUGGCGAAGGCGAGUCCCUGGACAACUCCUGACACUGAGGCACGAAAGCGUGGGGAGCAAACAGG